UCUUCUUCUUCUUCUUCUCUCUUCUUCUUCUUCUUCUUCUUUUCUUCUUCUUCUUCUUCUUCUUCUUCUUCUUCUUCUUCUUUUCUUCUUCUUCUCUUCUUCUUCAUCUUCAUCUGAGCAUCAUGAAGCUCUAGCCCUAGCCCAUAUUCUUCUUCGUCUGUCUCUCAGGGAGGUUUCCGUUACGGUCUGGAACAAAGUUUUAGUUUUAGUUUAAUGUUUGUUUCCAUCGCCGAUUGAGUUAGUAGUUGGUUUUACCCAAGUUUCGAUUUUGCGAAUUCUGAGAACCCAUUUCAAUUUUUGAACUGCAGAUCCAGAAAGCUUAAUCAUUUCCACUUGUUUGAUCUUGUAUCCCUAUGUGGAGGAAGAUAAAGAGAGUUUCGCUGAUGGCGUGAGGGGAUGUUAUCAACUCUAUCGCUUGUCUGUGGCCUUCAUCGGGCAGGUCCGUUGAUGUUGGCGGCAAGAGAACUCACAUGCGCUUUCUGCUGCUAAGACAGAGAAUUGAGUUUCCAAGUGAUAAGCCCAACCACGCCGAUGAUCUAGGACUAAGGUGUCAGGAAGCAAACCGUCAAAAGGUCUCCUCCUCAGGUCGAGGUCAAGAAUCAAAUGGGAAUGGUGAUCAUAAUAUGAUUGAUCCUAACUCAAACCCUCAAAGAGUACACGAGCCUGGAUCAAAUCACCAAGAUUUAUAGGUAAGAGCUUGCUUCUCCGACUCUCCUGCAAAGCUCUAGAUGAAGAUAAGGGAGUAAAAAGGUGACACAAGAACACUCAUUUCUCCGCCUUCCAAAACAAAGGAUUCUCUUUGUGAAUGAAACAACAUGAUUUAACAACAUCUCUUCUUCAGCGAUGCAUUCAGAAACCCUCUUGAGAUUAUCAUGAAUGAAUUAAGAAGAUAAAUACUUACAAACGACGUCUUGUAGGUACGUAGAAGGAGGUGAGGUCUAAAAACACUCAUAUUCUCAAGAGAUUUCGAGACAGCUUGUAUCCAAAGGUUUUUUUCAGUUUUGUUGUCUUCUUUUAUCUCUACCAUGAGCUCCUGCAUAAUUCCAGAGUCCAAAAUUAUAAUCAGCUCGGUGGCCCACCUUCUUAGGAGAGACGACGUAGCUCCUAAAGUCUUGACGCCUCCAGCAAUGGCUGUGUAACCGCUACCGUUUGCAUUCCUCUGGCGUAUUAAAUCAAACAGGUAUGUGGUUCGUCCCACUUCUACCACUUUCUUAUGCAUUUAAUCGCCAUCAUCGUAGUCGAAGGUAACAGCUAAAACCUCCGGCUAUAAAUUUGCUCCAAAUCUGCGAUGAAUUUCCUCACCCCCAACGAAUUCAGUCAAGAUCAAUCUGUCAAUGACGAACUUUACCAAUGGAGAUGAUGACUUGAAAGCUGUGUGUUGUUCAAACACUAGGAGGCACGGAAUGACAAGAAAGGUGUCAAACUCAUGGGACUUCACAUGCUCCUAUCGUUGGUGUUAUCGGAAUUGAGACGAACCAUAAUCUUCAUUUCUUCCUGGACAAGAAACCUUUAUAAAACCUGAAACUUAAUCCCAGAAAGUCAAUUGCGUGUAAGCAGUGUUCCGGCCAGAGUAAAGAGAAUCAGAUCAAGAUCGAGUUUCCUAUGGAAGUAUCACAUUGCAUAGAAUCAAUUUCAGUUUGUUGUCAUUUGGAGGUAAAAUCCAUCUGGCAUUUGAUCUGUGACUCGAGAGAAAGUCAUUGUUUUCUGAAUCAGAAACUUGGGUUUAACAAACCAAGUCUUUCAGUUUCAUAGAAGGGUUUUGCGAGGUCAUUACACGACGUACCAGAGAGAGACAAAGAGUGAUAAAGAUGUUUAUGGAAAUGUAUUACUGCAUAAAAUUCAUAGAAAGUGAAAUCUUAUCAAUCGGAUUUAAAGUCAAUGCAUAAAAUGAUUUGUAAGUUGAUC